UACUCCUACGGGAGGCAGCAGUGGGGAAUCUUGCGCAAUGCGCGAAAGCGUGACGCAGCAACGCCGCGUGGGGGAAGACGGCCUUCGGGUUGUAAACCCCUUUCAGGAGGGACGAAGGUUCGCCGGUGAAUAGCCGUGCGGAUUGACGGUACCUCCACAAGAAGCUCCGGCUAACUACGUGCCAGCAGCCGCGGUAAUACGUAGGGAGCAAGCGUUGUCCGGAAUCAUUGGGCGUAAAGCGCGCGUAGGUGGCUCCAUAAGUCCGUUGUGAAAGUCAAAGGCUCAACCUUUGAAAGCCGAUGGAUACUGUGGAGCUAGAGUACGGAAGAGGCGAGUGGAAUUCCUGGUGUAGCGGUGGAAUGCGCAGAUAUCAGGAGGAACACCAAUAGCAAAGGCAGCUCGCUGGGACGUUACUGACACUGAGGCGCGAAAGCGUGGGGAGCGAACAGGAUUAGAUACCCUGGUAGUCCACGCCGUAAACGAUGGGUACUAGGUGUGGGAGGUGUCGACUCCUCCCGUGCCGUCGCUAACGCACUAAGUACCCCGCCUGGGGAGUACGGCCGCAAGGCUAAAACUCAAAGGAAUUGACGG
rnacentral:rRNA from 1 species